rnacentral:rRNA from 1 species
UACGGGGGGGGGCAAGCGUUGUUCGGAAUUACUGGGCGUAAAGGGCUCGUAGGUGGCCAACUAAGUCGGACGUGAAAUCCCUCGGCUUAACCGGGGAACUGCGUCCGAUACUGGUUGGCUUGAGUUUGGGAGAGGGAUGCGGAAUUCCAGGUGUAGCGGUGAAAUGCGUAGAUAUCAGGAGGAACACCAGCGGCGAAGGCGGCGCUCUGGGCCGGAACUGACGCUGAGGAGCGAAAGCGUGGGUAGCAAACAGG